AUUGAACGCUGGCGGCAGGCCUAACACAUGCAAGUCGAACGGUAGCACAGAGAGCUUGCUCUUGGGUGACGAGUGGCGGACGGGUGAGUAAUGUCUGGGAAACUGCCCGAUGGAGGGGGAUAACUACUGGAAACGGUAGCUAAUACCGCAUAACGUCGCAAGACCAAAGUGGGGGACCUUCGGGCCUCACACCAUCGGAUGUGCCCAGAUGGGAUUAGCUAGUAGGUGGGGUAAUGGCUCACCUAGGCGACGAUCCCUAGCUGGUCUGAGAGGAUGACCAGCCACACUGGAACUGAGACACGGUCCAGACUCCUACGGGAGGCAGCAGUGGGGAAUAUUGCACAAUGGGCGCAAGCCUGAUGCAGCCAUGCCGCGUGUAUGAAGAAGGCCUUGGUGUAAGUACUUUCUAGCGAGGAGGAAGGACGA
rnacentral:rRNA from 1 species